rnacentral:rRNA from 1 species
GAUUGAACGCUGGCGGCAGGCCUAACACAUGCAAGUCGAGCGGAUGAAGGGAGCUUGCUCCUGGAUUCAGCGGCGGACGGGUGAGUAAUGCCUAGGAAUCUGCCUGGUAGUGGGGGAUAACGUCCGGAAACGGGCGCUAAUACCGCAUACGUCCUGAGGGAGAAAGUGGGGGAUCUUCGGACCUCACGCUAUCAGAUGAGCCUAGGUCGGAUUAGCUAGUUGGUGGGGUAAAGGCCUACCAAGGCGACGAUCCGUAACUGGUCUGAGAGGAUGAUCAGUCACACUGGAACUGAGACACGGUCCAGACUCCUACGGGAGGCAGCAGUGGGGAAUAUUGGACAAUGGGCGAAAGCCUGAUCCAGCCAUGCCGCGUGUGUGAAGAAGGUCUUCGGAUUGUAAAGCACUUUAAGUUGGGAGGAAGGGCAGUAAGUUAAUACCUUGCUGUUUUGACGUUACCAACAGAAUAAGCACCGGCUAACUUCGUGCCAGCAGCCGCGGUAAUACGAAGGGUGCAAGCGUUAAUCGGAAUUACUGGGCGUAAAGCGCGCGUAGGUGGUUCAGCAAGUUGGAUGUGAAAUCCCCGGGCUCAACCUGGGAACUGCAUCCAAAACUACUGAGCUAGAGUACGGUAGAGGGUGGUGGAAUUUCCUGUGUAGCGGUGAAAUGCGUAGAUAUAGGAAGGAACACCAGUGGCGAAGGCGACCACCUGGACUGAUACUGACACUGAGGUGCGAAAGCGUGGGAAGCAAACAGGAUUAGAUACCCUGGUAGUCCACGCCGUAAACGAUGUCGACUAGCCGUUGGGAUCCUUGAGAUCUUAGUGGCGCAGCUAACGCGAUAAGUCGACCGCCUGGGGAGUACGGCCGCAAGGUUAAAACUCAAAUGAAUUGACGGGGGCCCGCACAAGCGGUGGAGCAUGUGGUUUAAUUCGAAGCAACGCGAAGAACCUUACCUGGCCUUGACAUGCUGAGAACUUUCCAGAGAUGGAUUGGUGCCUUCGGGAACUCAGACACAGGUGCUGCAUGGCUGUCGUCAGCUCGUGUCGUGAGAUGUUGGGUUAAGUCCCGUAACGAGCGCAACCCUUGUCCUUAGUUACCAGCACCUCGGGUGGGCACUCUAAGGAGACUGCCGGUGACAAACCGGAGGAAGGUGGGGAUGACGUCAAGUCAUCAUGGCCCCUACGGCCAGGGCUACACACGUGCUACAAUGGUCGGUACAAAGGGUUGCCAAGCCGCGAGGUGGAGCUAAUCCCAUAAAACCGAUCGUAGUCCGGAUCGCAGUCUGCAACUCGACUGCGUGAAGUCGGAAUCGCUAGUAAUCGUGAAUCAGAAUGUCACGGUGAAUACGUUCCCGGGCCUUGUACACACCGCCCGUCACACCAUGGGAGUGGGUUGCUCCAGAAGUAGCUAGUCUAACCGCAAGGGGGACGGUUACCACGGAGUGAUUCAUGACUGGGGUGA